GUCCACGCCGUAAACGAUGGAUACUCGGUGCGUGCUUUAAGUGCGUGCCUAAGCGAAAGCGUUAAGUAUCCCACCUGGGGAGUACGUCGGCAACGAUGAAACUCAAAGGAAUUGACGGGGGUCCGCACAAGCGGUGGAGUAUGUGGUUUAAUUCGAUGAUACGCGAGGAACCUUACCUAGGCUUAAUGUUAGCGAAUGAUGUAGAGAUAUAUCAGUCUUCGGACGCGAAACAAGGUGCUGCAUGGUU
rnacentral:rRNA from 1 species